AUGGAACAAUGUAGGCAAGGGAAGUCGGCAAAACGGAUCCGUAACUUCGGGAAAAGGAUUGGCUCUGAGGACUGGGCUCGGGGGUCCCGGCCCCGAACCCGUCGGCUGUCGGCGGAUUGCUCGAGCUGCUCACGCGGCGAGAGCGGGUCGCCGCGUGCCGGCCGGGGGACGGACCGGGAAUCGCCCCUUCGGGGGCUUUCCCCGAGCAUGAAACAGUCGACUCAGAACUGGUACGGACAAGGGGAAUCCGACUGUUUAAUUAAAACAAAGCAUUGCGACGGUCCUCGCGGAUGCUGA
rnacentral:rRNA from 1 species